GUAGCCGCCAAUAUGAUAAUGUUUUCGCUAGGAACCGAAACUGAUGGUAGUAUUAUUGAUCCAGCGAUGAGGAAUGGUGUUGUUGGUUUUAAACCCACUGUUGGUUUAACCUCAAGGUCUGGUGUAAUUCCAGAGUCCGAGCAUCAGGAUUCUACUGGACCUAUGGCUAGAACUGUCCGCGACGCAAUAUAUGCUUUCCAAUAUAUGUGGGGGGUCGAUGAGAAAGACGUGUAUACCUUGAAUCAGACCGGUAAAGUUCCAGAUGACGGUGAUUACUUGAAAUAUUUAACUGACAAAAGUGCUCUGAAAGGUGCAAGAUUUGGUUUGCCAUGGAAAAAGCUUUGGUCAUACGCCAAAACCGAUGAAAUUCCUAGACUUUUAGAAGUCAUUAAAGUUAUUGAAGACGCAGGAGCUACAAUUUAUAAUAAUACCGACUUUGGA
rnacentral:lncRNA from 1 species